GUAACGGCGAGUGAAGCGGUAACAGCUCAAAUUUGAAAUCUGGCUCCGUCGGAGUCCGAGUUGUAAUUUGUAGAAGAUGCUUUGGGUUGCAGAUUCGGCCUAAGUUCCUUGGAACAGGACGUCAUAGAGGGUGAGAAUCCCGUAUGCGGCCGAGGUUUGCGCCCGUGUAAAGCUCUUUCGACGAGUCGAGUUGUUUGGGAAUGCAGCUCAAAAUGGGUGGUAAAUUUCAUCUAAAGCUAAAUAUGGGCCAGAGACCGAUAGCGCACAAGUAGAGUGAUCGAAAGAUGAAAAGCACUUUGGAAAGAGAGUUAAACAGUACGUGAAAUUGUUGAAAGGGAAGCGCUUGCAACCAGACUUGGGCACUGUUGAUCAUCUAGAGUUUUCUCUGGUGCACUCGACAGCGCACAGGCUAGCAUCGGUUCGGGUGGCUGGAUAAAGGCCGUAGGAACGUAGCUCCUCUUGGGGAGUGUUAUAGCUUACGGUGCCAUGCAGCCCAGCCGGACCGAGGACCGCGCCUUCGGGCUAGGAUGCUGGCGUAAUGGUUGUAAGCGACCCGUCUUGAAACACGGACCAAGGAGUCUAACAUCUAUGCGAGUGUUUGGGCGUGAAACCCAUACGCGGAAUGAAAGUGAACGCAGGUGAGAACCCCUUUGGGGUGCAUCAUCGACCGAUCCUGAUGUCUUCGGAUG
rnacentral:rRNA from 1 species